ACUCAAAUGAAUUGACGGGGGCCCGCACAAGCGGUGGAGCAUGUGGUUCAAUUCGACGCAACGCGAAGAACCUUACCUGGGCUCGAACGGUGCCGGACAGGCUGUGGAAACACGGCUUUCCCGCAAGGGACCUGUACCGAGGUGCUGCAUGGCUGUCGUCAGCUCGUGUCGUGAGAUGUUGGGUUAAGUCCCGCAACGAGCGCAACCCUUGUCCUGUGUUGCCACUCCGUAAGGAAGCACUCUCAGGAGACCGCCAGCGAUAAGUUGGAGGAAGGUGGGGAUGAUGUCAAGUCAUCAUGGCCUUUAUGUCCAGGGCUACACACGUGCUACAAUGGGCGGUACAAUGCGUCGCAAACCCGCGAGGGGGAGCUAAUCGCAAAAAACCGCUCUCAGUUCGGAUUGCAGGCUGCAACCCGCCUGCAUGAAGCUGGAAUCGCUAGUAAUGGCAGAUCAGCAUGCUGCCGUGAAUACGUUCCCGGGCCUUGCACACACCGCCCGU
rnacentral:rRNA from 1 species